GAUGAACGCUGGCGGCGUGCCUAAUACAUGCAAGUCGAGCGAAUGGAUUGAGAGCUUGCUCUUAUGAAGUUAGCGGCGGACGGGUGAGUAACACGUGGGUAACCUGCCCAUAAGCCUGGGAUAACUCCGGGAAACCGGGGCUAAUACCGGAUAACAUUUUGAACCGCAUGGUUCGAAAGUGAAAGGCGGCUUCGGCUGUCACUUAUGGAUGGACCCGCGUCGCAUUAGCUAGUUGGUGAGGUAACGGCGCACCAAGGCAACGAUGCGUAGCCGACCGGAGAGGGUGAUCGGCCACACUGGGACUGAGACACGGCCCAGACUCCGACGGGAGGCAGCAGUAGGGAAUCUGCCGCAAUGGACGAAAGUCUGACGGAGCAACGCCGCGUGAGUGAUGAAGGCUUUCGGGUCGUAAAACUCUGUUGUUAGGGAAGAACAAGUGCUAGUUGAAUAAGCUGGCACCUUGACGGUACCUAACCGGAAAGCCACGGCUAACUACGUGCCAGCCGCCGCAGUAA
rnacentral:rRNA from 1 species